ensembl:lncRNA
AUGUUCCUUUUUCUGUAUUUUUUUAGAACAAGCUCGUACAGUGUGCCUGCAUUCCAGCUUCUUAGACUCUACGCAAGUGGACAGAGUAUCAGUGUUUGGCCACUCUUACAGACACCGACUUCUGUCAACUCACUUCUACUGAUCAGGCACCUCACUCCAGGAAGACAGAGGGCUGCAAGCCUGUCAUCGUUUCCAGUGUGGCUUUGUAUUCUUGGGGUAGUAUCAGAUUUUUCCCACAAAUAUUCAAAGAUUUAUAUGCAGUGAUCGGAUGUGGUGGAGCUUUGUUAACUGUGUGGAAAACAUCUGUUUGUGAUGAUAUUUACAAUGAGGCUUUAAGGUGACAGUUUCCAUGUAAUUUCAAUCCUUUUACUAAGCAAAAACAUGUUUGCAAUUAACAUAUUUUUUUCAGUUUUGUCUUUUGGAUUUAUGGUUAACAUUCCUCUGUGACAGCAAAUACUAAACUGGUCCAAGUAACCAGCAUAUCAUUGGUCAAAGGCAAAAAGGACCACAUGUCACGCUAGCAAUGAAUUUUUGACUGUGUUUGUGUCACCAGAUUUAACAAACAAUAUCAGACAUAUGAAACUGAACUCUGGAUUAAUGUGCAGAUGUUUUUUGUGUUUUUUUUUAAUUGUUGAAUAAUUAUUUUGUAGGACAAACCCAAUCUAUUUACCCAAACAAUGUAACUUGUUUGGGUAAAUAGUGGAUUAAUAUAUCUAAGUGUAUAAGUAUAGCAAGCUGAAUUCAUACAAACACACAGCUCUAAAUCUUGAAUUGUAGGAUGUACAAAAAUGAUCAUGUGAUUAUUAUGGACAUUUAAAUAACUAUAUCUAUUGAACCAUUACACAUAUUCUUUAUAGAAAUUACACAAUCUCAAAAUGUGAAAAAAGAAAGUGUUUAAGUGAAAAAAUAAUGUGUGUUUGUAUGAAUCCUGCCUUAGUAUGGGGUGUCAGUAACUACAUUAGUAUAGAGUAGGUCUAACAGUGGUUUUCCACAUCUGCUUUAAUAUAUAUAGAUAAUGGGUCAGACAUAUAAAGUCAUUUUGAAAAGUUCAUAAAGGUCACAUCCAUUCAUAUGUGUUCCUCUUUAUCAUUUUAUAUCAGGUCACACAGCUGACUUGAGUUUUGAUCAGAGUAGAACCAUAACAUUCAUGCUAAUGGUUCUACUGUUUACAGUUACUUUAUGAUGGAUUUCAUCCUGGUCACAGCACUAUGUGAAAAGCUGUUAGAGGUUAAGUUAACCCAAUUAAUACCUCAUCAUAAGUCACUCUUUAACGCAAAGCAGUGAUUAUUUUUCAAUGUAAUUUAUUCCACAACAAUGUUCUUUAUUUGAUCCCUGUUUCUUUAAAUAUGCACAUCGAUUGUUCAGCUGUGUGACUCUCUACACCUCAAAUAUAUCACAAUGUGGACUUCAUUUCGACAGUAUUUUGUAGAUUGGUACCAUAUUUAUCAUAAAAUCAGGAAACUGUAAACUAAUUGAAAAAUGAAGCUUAUGAAAAUUUUAAUGUGGCAUUGGAACAUGUUGUUUAUCCUUGCUGAAUGGUAUUUACACAAAACUCCAGCAAAUCAGAGGAUAUAUUUUUCUCUCUCACUUGCUGUUUAUAUAUGUGUAUAUUUUUGCAGUUAAUAGCCUAUCAUGUGUCUGCGCAUCUUAGGGCCAUAAACAUAAACAUGGCAAACAAGGAUAUGUUCACAAUUCCAACAGAUGCUUCAAUUGUUUGUAUAAAUGUUAGAUUCAUUUGAUUUGCAUUUUCUAUUAAUAUUUUUCUGUUUGUCCCAAAUGGGAUUUUUAUUUCUGUAUGCCAUUAUUGUAAUCAUUGGAAACAACUGAGUAAAUAUUUUGUAUCAUAUAUUUCUAAAAAUAUUUGAAUGUUCUACUUUUCUACUACUGAUUUUCUACUUUCUAAACUUUCUUCCACUCUUUGGCACUUCAAUAACAUUAUUUUUGGGUGUUUUUAUCUCUGACCGCAGCAUCUUGUGCAUUUAUUACCUAAAUGUUGUUUGUGUGGGUUUUGGUUUUGGUUUUUUUGCCAUUUUUAGAUUUCACCAGCUGUGUAAACUCUGCAAUUUUACCUUGGUUUUGUUCCACAUGAGUUUAUCUGCUGGCUGAUUUUCUUCCUUUUCUAAUGUUUCUGGUAAUUUUUAACAGUUAAACAAGUAACUUUGAGGUUACUUCAGCCUUUUCAGCUGUUAUCUGUUGACAGUUUUGCCUAAUUAUUACAUUUCUGCAAAAUUAUAGCAGUUCUGAUAACUUGUAAUAUUUCUGCCAAGUUUUUAAUUUUCUACUAAAUUAUAUUAUUUUCGCUAGGUUGCACUACUUUUGUUUGUUAUGUUAUGUUAUGUUAUGUUAAGUUAUGUUAUUCUAAAUUAUUACAUUUCUGCUAAGUUGCAGCUUCUGGUAAACUACAACAUUUCUGCUGAAUUGUUAUAUUUCUUCUAUGCUAUUGCAUUUCUGCUAAAUUAUUACAUUUUUGUUAACUUGAUGUUGUUCUGCAAAGUUAUUAAAUUUCAACAACUUUUUAAGCACUGACUUUGAUUUCUUCAGCUUUUUCAGCUAUUUUCGACUAUUUUCAGCAGACAGCUUCAGCUUUACAGCAUCCACACUGCAUUUUCGCAGGAAAUGCAAAUUUUUCUAGUUCCUGUUGCUUCCGUACGUUUUUCGGCACUUAACUACUCCUCCAGUUUUCAGCCGAUUUUCUCAGUUCAAACUCUAAACUGUUCUGCUCUUUCUGCUAAUUCCAG